GACGAACCGUGCGAACGUUGUUCGGAAUCACUGGGCUUAAAGGGUGCGUAGGCGGGCGAUCAAGUCAGGGGUGAAAUCCUCCAGCUUAACUGGAGAACUGCCUUUGAUACUGGUCAUCUUGAGUGAGGUAGGGGCGUGCGGAACUGAUGGUGGAGCGGUGAAAUGUGUUGAUAUCAUCAGGAACUCCGGUGGCGAAAGCGGCGCGCUGGACCUUUACUGACGCUGAGGCACGAAAGCCAGGGGAGCGAACGGA
rnacentral:rRNA from 1 species